rnacentral:tRNA from 1 species
GUGGUAACUCAGCGGUAGAGUGCUCGCCUCACACUUGUGAGGCACUGUGUUCGAUUCUCAGCACCACA